rnacentral:rRNA from 1 species
GAUGAACGCUGGCGGCGUGCUUAACACAUGCAAGUCGAACGGAACUACUCCAAUGAGAGUCUUCGGAAAGGAUUUGGUUUAGUUUAGUGGCGGACGGGUGAGUAACGCGUGGGUAACCUGCCCUAUACAGGGGGAUAACAGUUGGAAACGACUGUUAAUACCGCAUAAACGCACAGGAGCGCAUGCUCCGGUGUGAAAAACUCCGGUGGUAUAGGAUGGACCCGCGUCUGAUUAGCUGGUUGGCGGGGUAACGGCCCACCAAGGCGACGAUCAGUAGCCGGCCUGAGAGGGUGAACGGCCACAUUGGGACUGAGACACGGCCCAAACUCCUACGGGAGGCAGCAGUGGGGAAUAUUGCACAAUGGGGGAAACCCUGAUGCAGCGACGCCGCGUGAGCGAAGAAGUAUCUCGGUAUGUAAAGCUCUAUCAGCAGGGAAGAAAAUGACGGUACCUGACUAAGAAGCCCCGGCUAACUACGUG